rnacentral:misc_RNA from 1 species
AACGCACAUUGCGCCCCUUGGUAUUCCAUGGGGCAUGCCUGUUCGAGCGUCAUUUGUACCUUCAAGCUUUGCUUGGUGUUGGGCGUUUUGUCUUUUCUCUUCUGAUUAGACUCGCCUUAAAGUCAUUGGCAGCCAGUGUUUUUGGUAGUAAGCGCAGCACAUUUUGCGUCUUGGUCCUUAAAUAGCGGCAUCCAUAUAGCUACUUUUUCACUUUUGACCUCGGAUCAGGUAGGGAUACCCGCUGAACUUAA